AGGACGAACGCUGGCGGCGCGCUUAACACAUGCAAGUCGAGCGAGAACCGGGACUUCGGUCCCGGGGACAGCGGCGAACGGGUGAGUAACACGUGGGUAAUCAACCCUCGGCACCGGGAUAGCCCGAGGAAACUCGGAUUAAUACCGGAUAGCCCCUCCGACUCUCGAGUCGGUCGGGAAAGGUAGCUUAGGCCUCUGGCCGGGGACGAGCCCGCGGCGGAUUAGCUUGUUGGUGGGGUAAUGGCCUACCAAGGCAACGAUCCGUAGCUGGUCUGAGAGGACGAUCAGCCACACUGGGACUGAGACACGGCCCAGACUCCUACGGGAGGCAGCAGUGGGGAAUCUUGCGCAAUGGGCGAAAGCCUGACGCAGCGACGCCGCGUGAGGGAAGAAGGCCUUCGGGUUGUAAACCUCUUUCACCUGUGACGAAGCGAGAGUGACGGUAGCAGGAGAAGAAGCACCGGCCAACUACGUGCCAGCAGCCGC
rnacentral:rRNA from 1 species